rnacentral:lncRNA from 1 species
UGCUAAAACUAGGAAGAAAUCUUACACGACUCCCAAGAAUAAGCAUAAGAGAAAGAAGGUGAAGUGGGUGUCCUGAAAUACUAUAAGGUGGAUGAAAAUGGCAGAAUUAGUGGCCUUCGCUGGGAGUGCCCUUCAGAUGAAUGCGGUGCUGGAGUUUUUAUGGCCAGCCACUCUGACAGGCAUUAUUGUGGCUAAUGUUGUCUGAUUUAUUGCUUCAACAAACCAGAAGACAAGUAA